UUGAGUGCACCCUUUUUAUGGACUUAACUUCAGGACGUCGGGCGUCCUCUCUGUCUCCUCCAGAAUAAUCAGUUUCUUAUCUAAUAUAUAUGAAAUGUCCGAGUACAUCUACUUCAUUUGCAUCUUUAACUCAAGAACAAUUGAUCAAAAAAUGGAAGCACUGCUGCAGAUCAGAGAAUCUUUUUCGUUUAAAGCCUUUAAGUCACCAUUUAUUUCCAUCUAGUUAAGCUUAAUUUCCUUUUACUGUGUUGUUCAAAUGAAAAUAUACAAUGCCAUGUCUAAUUGCGUUACUAUUCACAUUAAUAAGCCGUAACUUUACAUAACAAUGAGCAAGGAGCAUCAAAAAGGCAGAAACAGAUGCAAUUAUUUGUUGCUAGCUAAGUUACUGUACGUGACCCAGGUGCUGUAGUACUAUUUGCAUGUGUUUCUCACCUUUGUUCACCCAGACACAUGGGGAUCUCAAGCUAUUGCUGACUAAUUGAUAGUUGUAGUAACUGCUAUAGGCUCCUUAGAUUAGAAAUGCAUGCAGACGUGUGUCUUGAUUCAAACAUUAAGGAACACACACUCUCACUUACUUACAUGGGCAGAAAGUCUUCAUACUAUUAGAGGUGUGUGAUGGAGAUAGCAGGACAUAAAACAGAAGAGAGAGAGACACAGAGAGAGAGAGAGAGACAGAGACAGAGAGAUGGCAUGCAGCAUAUAUACCCCUACAAAUAGUUCUAAAAUGCGUUUGCAAAUGCAGAAGUCUUCAGAACCAUCCAACAGUUCAGCACACCCUUUUUAUCUCUUCUCUGCGGGACGUCUCCAUCCAGAUUACUCGAAAAAGGCGGAAAAGGAACGCCUUGAUGACUUCAUUGGGAAUUUCUCAUGGACAAGAAGGAGAAAGGGUCAUCUGAGCUCUCUUGAAGAUGGGAGUCAGGGCCAGACAACCCCCAACAAUGUUCCUAAGGCACAGAAUGUCUCCUCUUGCCUUUUCUCCUCCUGCAGUUCCAAACCAAGGUUCAGGUGAAUGUUGGCUGAGUGAGAAGGAAUAAACCAGUGUCUGACAGCAGCCCAGCAGCACAGAAGGAUCUGCCAGUACUGGUGAAGUCCUUUCUCUGAACCAGACAACAGAAGCUGCUUUCCCAGUUCAUGGUUGUUCCUUCUCACUGGCAAACAACCUUGGGGGGAUCUGCUUUCAGGUUGUGUCUGCUGCAAUGUGGAGGUGAAGAAGUGCACAUCCAUCCUUUUUGCUGCAGACUCAGACUCAUCAACAAGGCCAUUCAGGACUGAAUUAAUUCCCAGGUAAGGGAGAACCCCUUCCUACUUAGGUGGUGAAGUGCUCAAUCAAAACUGAACUGAUCACCUUAGUAGUCAAAGCAAGAUGGGUUGUGACAUACCAGCUUCACCUUUGCGUAGAGUAUUUCCUACAUGUUCCUGGUAGUAGAGUAUUUCCUACACGUUCCUGGUAAGAAUCCAGUUGGUCCAGAUAAAGGCUGUUGUGUAGGCACUAAGAGUAAGUAGAAAAGAAGUCUGAUCCCAAGCCGUCAGGGACAGAAUGUUUUUUCAUUGUAGGAUGCUUCUUGAAUUAGUCUGAAAGAGCUCUCAUUUUAUUUAAGAGGCUUUUAUUGAUCUACAAAGCUUCGUUGAUCGGUUCUAUCUUCCUGAGUGGCUGAAGCAGACUUAGCUUACUAUAGGAGUUCUUAUUUGAGUUUGUUUUAUCAGCUCAGUUGUUGCUAAAUUUCAUGCUUUUCUUCUCUGGAAAGAGGCACAUGGUUUAGAGAGAGAAAAAAAAGUGUAUGUUUCCUUCCAGUCCAUUAAUUUUCUUUCAUGGAGCUCUGUACCAGUUUGAGCGCACAAUUGGGAGGAAUCAAAACACAGGCAUCUAGACUAUUACAUAAGAUCAAAAAGAGAAUGGAGUUGUUUUGAAGAUGAAUAAAAUGUAUUUGUCCAAAGUCAUGGAUGCUUUUGAGAACUCAGAACAUUCUUCCUGUUUUGCCUUAGGAUGAAACUUAGACCAUGUCAGCUGGAGAGAGAUCCCAAAAUACUUGAAGCCAAGUAGGUGACUUGUAGACCUAAUUCAAGGUCCUAACGGAGGGACAUCAAGUAGGGAUUUGAGCCUGGUUAUUAGACAGGCUCUUCUCUCUUUCUUCCUUCUAACUUCAAGGUCCAUCUUAUGUUGAAGAAACUGUUCCCAUGGAUGUCAGAAAUAUGAAUGAAUUCAGGUCAAAAACUUAGAUUUUUUUUAACUGAUGCAACGUAUUUUGUCCAACUGCUCCCCCAGUAAAAAAAAAGUAAUAGGUUGGCAGUGGAAAUUUGCAGAGAAUAUUUUCCUGUGUUGCCCCAUAGUUGUAUU